GUGGGGAAUAUUGGACAAUGGGCGAAAGCCUGAUCCAGCCAUGCCGCGUGAGUGAUGAAGGCCUUAGGGUUGUAAAGUUCUUUCAGUAGGGAAGAUAAUGACGGUACCUACAGAAGAAGCCCCGGCUAACUUCGUGCCAGCAGCCGCGGUAAUACGAAGGGGGCUAGCGUUGUUCGGAUUUACUGGGCGUAAAGCGCACGUAGGCGGAUUGGUCAGUUAGAGGUGAAAUCCUGGAGCUCAACUCCAGAACUGCCUUUAAUACUGCCAGUCUAGAGUCCAGAAGAGGUGAGUGGAACUCCUAGUGUAGAGGUGGAAUUCGUAGAUAUUAGGAAGAACACCAGUGGCGAAGGCGGCUCACUGGUCUGGUACUGACGCUGAGGUGCGAAAGCGUGGGGAGCAAACAGGAUUAGAAACCCGGGUAGUCC
rnacentral:rRNA from 1 species